GUAGAGAUGGUUCAGCAAUUUAGAACACUGGCCUCUCUUCCAGAGGACUUGGGUUCAAUUCCCAGCACCUACA
rnacentral:tRNA from 1 species